GCAUUAGAAGCUCUUGUUGAACACAGAAUCACUGGUUUUCCUGUUAUUGAUGAUGAUUGGAAAUUGGUUGGACUUGUUUCUGAUUAUGACUUGCUAGCAUUGGACUCCAUAUCUGGGCAGCGGACUAAGAAUGACUUGUUUUCUAAAGUUGAU